rnacentral:rRNA from 1 species
GCAAGUCGAACGGUAACAGAGAAGAGCUAGCUCUUGUGCUGACGAUUGGCGCACGGGUGCGUAACGCUUAUACAAUCUACCUUUGACAGGGGGAUAGCCUUUAGAAAUAAGGAAUAAUACCCCAUAGUAAGUUUAUUUCGCAUGGAAAAAACUUUAAAGAUUUAUCGGUAAAAGAUGAGUAUGCGUUCUAUUAGCUAGAUGGUGUGGUAACGGCACACCAUGGCAACGAUAGAUAGGGGCCCUGAGAGGGGGAUC